rnacentral:lncRNA from 1 species
GAAUCCACUGGGAGAUGGUUUGGGGGCACUGGGGUGAGGAGAGGAUGCUCUACUCAGAUUCCGGGUACCGUUUGCGGGGUGGGGGCUGUAAGGGGGGAAGUGCGCCCAGCCUUUCGGUUAUCCACCUUCCCCGUUGUCCUCGGCAAGGGCUCCUGGCAUUCUGGGGCGCCUUCGAGGUCCUCUGUGGACACACUGACAAACUCCUCAACCUUCCUGAAUGGGCUAGGGCCUGGAGGUGGGGAAUUGACUAUCCGGUUCCUGGUUCCUUCGUUCCGCUCCUGGGAAAAAGCCCUGACCGCUGCGCGUGCACUGACCCUCCCCAGUCAGGGUGAGAGCUGAAGCGUGAGUCCCGGACCAACGCAGAUGGCACGCUAUUUGGUCCAGGAGAGGCUCACAGAGGGUGAGGGGCUGCUGGGCAUCCGAGUGCACCCAGGGACCAAAUGGCUGUCUGUUCCGGUCAGUGGCGGAACUGGGCCCCAGCCGCUAGGACCAGUCUGGAAUCGGGGGAGGGGCGCGGCAGGGGGAGGGACUGGACAAGAUCC